GAUGAAGAACGUAGCGAAAUGCGAUAAGUAAUGUGAAUUGCAGAACUCAGUGAAUCAUCGAAUCUUUGAACGCACAUUGCGCCCCCUGGCUUUCCGGGGGGCAUGCCUGUUCGAGCGUCAUUUCAACCAUCAAGCCCCCGGCUUGUGUUGGGGACCUGCGGCUGCCGCAGGCCCUGAAAAGCAGUGGCGGGCUCGCUGUCACACCGAGCGUAGUAGCAUACAUCUCGCUCUGGGCGUGCUGCGGGUUCCGGCCGUUAAACCACCUUCAUAACCCAAGGUUGACCUCGGAUCAGGUAGGAAGACCCGCUGAACUUAAGCAUAUCAAUAAGCGGAGGA
rnacentral:misc_RNA from 1 species